rnacentral:lncRNA from 1 species
ACAGAAAGAGAGAGUUGCCUCAAUGUGCGAACUAGAAGCUUUCGCUUCCCAAGCUAAGUGUGCAUAUGCCAUGCACCAGACUGAAGGAGCUGUAUUAUUGCUUGCUCAAAGCAGCAGAGACACUGUCAUACAUAAUACAGAGACAUCAUUACUAAUAUAAAACACUGCUGGGAGAAGGGACACAUGGGCGGGCCAAGAUGGCAGAUGGCUUUUAGUGGCAUGCUGCUUUCAGUUCUUCUACCUUUGUAAUUUGUGCAAUUUGAAGCCUUUGGUUUCUGUUUUUACUCUGCCAUCCAUUGGCCCUAGUGGGAGCUUUUGUUGUCGUGUAAGAUUGCAGGGUAUUUUCAGUGAGGGGCCAUGGCCAAUAGUAUGUACUGUGUCCUCCUGAUUACUGGUAUUACAAAGAAGGGCUUGUCAAGAACAGCUUUUAUGAUUUGCUGAGAAAUGGAUGAAAAUAUCAGUCUUCUUGGCCAUGUAACCUCUGCUCUAUUGUUUUGUAGGAUUUUGUUGUUGCUCUGUAAGUGUUUAGCACUGUGGUGGAUGGAUCUCUGACAUACAAAGAGUGAGAAGAGAAAUGAGACACACCUGGAAGAGAGACAGCCUGGCAGGUGGAAAUAUGGAGUACGUCGCGUGUGUGUCACUGGGUGUCUUCCUUUGAGUGAAUAAGGAGAACAUCUUUGCUGCUCCAGUCCACAUCAGCUCAGAUGACACUUCAUCUGCACUGGCAAACCAGGAAGUGGAUUGAGCAGUCCACUGUCACCUUUUAUAACAUGCAUCUCUUUCACCCGCUCAAGGUUGGAGUACCCAGUUGUGUCCUUGGAGGUCCUUGUAUUGUGGGACUGCCAGACCUCCUGAGUCACAUGACUCACUGUCUGAUUUCCGAGUCAAGCUUUUCAUUUCCUAAAUGAUAAGGGAUAAAAGAUAAAAUCUGGCACACACAGGUAAUCUUUGCCAUCUUAAUAUUUGUUAAGCUUUUUGAUUUACUGAGAAGUUAAAGUCACUGCAGGUCACAAAACCUGCACAUUAGAUCUGCUUCAUAAACAUUCUGAGUGAAUGCUUUUGUCAUUUAUUUCACCAUCUUUAAACGAAUGUAGCUGAAGAAUUGCACCUCCAAUUUAUAAAUCUUUCAAUUUAUUUCUGUUUUCAGCUUAUAGGAUGGGACCAUAUCCAGCUAGAUCUAGCCAUUUGUGCAUGACUAUAGAAGAAAGCUAACAUAUUUCUUGCAUAAUGUAGACUUGAUCCAGCUUACAUUUGUUAAAUCAUCCAAAAGGAAAUAUUCU